AUAUAAUCGCGCAAGAAAAUGGAGUCUUUUCUCAUUUAUGUUCUGAACUGCACAAAAUUUCAGCAUGGUGUAGCAGAGUUCCUUCAGAAGCCAUUAUCUGAAGACAAUUGAAGAACAUUUGUCAGCAUGUGGUUCAUAAGUUGUGCCAUAACCACUGAAUCAUUUAAUUCUUGGUUUGGGUGUUUUGGAUCUUACUCAUUUUGGAAGUUAGGGUUGAGGUGAAAUCGACUUAGGAUCUACAAGUAAUGAAGGUAAUUUUGGUAUUUCAUUAUUUUCAAGGGUAAAAUGGUAUUUA